rnacentral:misc_RNA from 1 species
CGGCUGGUUGGAUCCGGAGAUUGGAGGGGGAGGCUGCUGGGUACCGGUAGAAACAGGGUUCGGAUAAGGUGGAGAUGGAUUAACAGGAGUAUUUGGAUUGGGGAAAGUAAUGGGUUGAGAAGAAUGGCAAGAAUCACCGGAGCAUUUGUGAGAUUUAUGGCGAAGAAACCCGAAUCCCAAGGUAAGACCAAGAACCACAAGAACUGUCACUAAGAAAAUAAAGAUCUUCGUUGCUUUCCCCACAUAACACAUUUUUCUCUAU